GAAAUAGAACCUGAAACCCUGCACUUACAAGCUGUGGAAGCACAUUUCUUGUGUGACCGCGUACUUUUUGUAGAACGGGCCAACGAGUUACGUUAAGUAGCAAGGUUAAGCACUUAAGGUGCGGAGCCGUAGCGAAAGCGAGUUUUAACUGAGCGUUCAGUUACUUGACGUAGACCCGAAACCGGGCGACCUACCCAUGAGCAGGAUGAAGCGAAAGUAAAAUUUCGUGGAGGUCCGAACCCACGAGCG
rnacentral:rRNA from 1 species